UAAGUUAUUAAGGGCACACGGUGGAUGCCUUGGCAUUAAGAGCCGAUGAAGGACGUGUGAAUCUGCGAUAAGCCUCGGGGAGCCGAUAACUGGGCUGUGAUCCGAGGAUUUCCGAAUGGGGAAACCUGGCUCAUCUUCAUGGUGAGUUACCGCCAGCUGAAUGUAUAGGCUGGUUGGGGGGAACGCGGGGAAGUGAAACAUCUCAGUACCCGCAGGAAGAGAAAAUAAAGUAAUGAUUCUGUGAGUAGUGGCGAGCGAAAGCGGAAGAGACUAAACCUGUGGUGUGUGAUAGCGGUUAGGCGUUGCAUCAUGGGGGUUGUGGGAGUCACAGUGGCAGUUCUAACUGGCUGCCGGCAUGAUGUUCAGGAUGGUAGGUGAACGACUUGGAAUGGUCGGCCGUAGAGGGUGAGAGUCCCGUAAUCGAAAUUGUUCUGUCCGUGGUGUGGCCACCCGAGUAGCACGGGGCUCGUGGAAUCCUGUGUGAAUCUGCCAAGACCACUUGGUUGCCUGAAUACUUCCUGAUGACCGAUAGCGGAUAGUACCGUGAGGGAAUGGUGAAAAGUACCCCGGGAGGGGAGUGAAAUAGUACCUGAAACCGGGCGCUUACAAGCCGUCAGAGGCCUGCUGGGCUGAUGGCGUGCCUAUUGAAGAAUGAGCCUGCGAGUUAGUGCUGUGUCGCGAGGUUAACCCGUUGGGGGGAGUCGUAGCGAAAGCGAGUCCGAAAGGGCGUUUUAGUGGCACGGUCUAGACCCGAAGCGGGGUGAUCUACCCAUGGCCAGGUUGAAGCACGUGUAAGAGCGUGUGGAGGACCGAACCCACUUCAGUUGAAAAUGGAGGGGAUGAGCUGUGGGUAGGGGUGAAAGGCCAAUCAAACUCCGUGAUAGCUGGUUCUCCCCGAAAUGCAUUUAGGUGCAGCGUCCCGUGGUCCCCGGCGGAGGUAGAGCUACUGGGUGGCUGAUCGGCCCCACAGGGUUAGUGACGUCAACCAAACUCCGAAUGCCGUUCGGGUUACAGCGGGGCAGUGAGACUGCGGGGGAUAAGCUCCGUGGUCGAAAGGGAAACAGCCCAGAUCGCCGGCUAAGGCCCCUAAGCGUGUGCUAAGUGGGAAAGGAUGUGCGGUCGCGCAGACAACCAGGAGGUUGGCUUAGAAGCAGCCACCCUUGAAAGAGUGCGUAAUAGCUCACUGGUCAAGUGAUCGUGCGCCGACAAUGUAGCGGGGCUCAAGCACACCGCCGAAGCCGCGGAUCCGCAGCGUGUACUCUCCUGUCCCUUGAUGGACGUGGCAGGGGUUGCGGGUGGUAGGGGAGCGUCCUGCACCGGGUGAAGCCUCGGAGUGAUCCAGGGGUGGAUGGUGCGGGAGUGAGAAUGCAGGCAUGAGUAGCGAUACUAGGGUGAGAAACCCUAGCGCCGAAUGACCAAGGGUUCCAGGGCCAGGCUAGUCCGCCCUGGGUGAGUCGGGACCUAAGGCGAGGCCGACAGGCGUAGUCGAUGGACGACGGGUUGAUAUUCCCGUACCGGCGAAGCACCGCCCAUGCUGACGCGCGGGUGCUAACCCACGCCGAUGGCCACGAACGCGUCAUGUGAUCACUUCGGUGGUCCGUGUCGUGGUGGUUGUUGGUCUGGGGACCCUCCGUGCAGGUAGGCAAGCGUAUUAACAGGGGUGACGCACAGUGGUAGCCUCCGCGGGCCUAAUGGCUUGGCCCGUUCAAGCGAGCAGCCCGCUGCCUAGGCAAAUCCGGGCAGCAUGAGGGUCAGACGUGAUGGUGACCCGCCCAUUUGGGUGGGGAAGUAGGGUGAUCCUGGGGUGCCGAGAAAAGCCUCGACGCGAUGGUGCCAGCCGCCCGUACCCUAAACCGACACAGGUGGUCGGGCAGAGUAUGCCUAGGCGCACGAGAUAAUCAUGGUGAAGGAACUCGGCAAAAUGCCCCCGUAACUUCGGGAGAAGGGGGGCCCAAGCCUUGAAGCUCCUUGCGGGCUAGGGGUGAGGGUCGCAGAGACCAGGGAGAAGCGACUGUUUACUAAAAACACAGGUCCGUGCGAAGCCGCAAGGCGAUGUAUACGGACUGACGCCUGCCCGGUGCUGGAAGGUUAAGAGGAACCGUCAACCCCUUUUGGGGUGAAGCGGUGAAUUUAAGCCCCAGUAAACGGCGGUGGUAACUAUAACCAUCCUAAGGUAGCGAAAUUCCUUGUCGGGUAAGUUCCG
rnacentral:rRNA from 1 species